UUUAGGGUUGCUUAAUCACCGAGCCACAUUCCCAGUCCUUUUUAUAUUUUAUCUUAUUUAUUUAUUUAUUUAUUUAUUUAUUUAUUGUUGCCAAUGAUUAAACCAAGGGGCACUUAACCAUUGAGCAAUAUUCCUAGCCCUUUUUUUAUAUUUUUAUAGACAGGGUCUCCCUAAGGUGGUUGCUGAGGCUGGCUUUGAACUCACAGUCCUCCUGCCUCAGCCUCCUGAGUCACUGGGAUUACACCACAUCUGGCUUUUAUAUUUUAUUUUGAGACAGGGUCUCAUGAAGAAGCUUAGGGCCUCGCUAAGUUGCUGAGGCUGGCUUUUGAACUCCUGAUUCUCCUGCCUCAGCCUUCCCAGUGGAGAAACAGGGAUUUCUUGAGAAGAAGGUGUAGAUGGACACAACACAAUGCCUUUAUUUUUAUGUGGUGCUGAGGAUUGAACCCGAACCGGGUCCACCCGUGCUAGCCUAACCAAGAAGUGGCUAGCCAGCAAAUCCCACAGGUGGCCUCAAUGCAAGUGACCGAGCAUCAACACUAAUUCUUCAGUUUCUCAAGGGAAAUCAAUGGCAGAAGUUCAACAAGAAAAGCUGCAUCUGCGACUCCAGAUAGUCACUUUUUGCUAAGAAAAGAGCUACAAAACAGGUUUUUCUGGGAAGCCUGUCAACAUUCCAGAUAGCAAUUCUACUGUAUUGCCAUCCUCAAUAUCCUGGUUCUGAGGCUGGAUUUUAACAGAGAGGAUGUGGGAACCCUAGCAUCUUUCAAAUUGUACCAGGGCCUCAGCAUUAUGAAGGAUAAUUCCUGACAACUUGGAGAAAACACUACGGAGUUGCUAUGAAUGGUUAUCUUUGGAGGGGUUGUAUGUCAUUGGGCAACGUCCUGGAAGAAAUAAAAAUUUAUACCUUCAACAUGCCGCUGGCUUAAAAUAUAAACACUAUAUAAUCAACAUGAAACGUUACUCCUUGGCCUGAAACUCAAGUUGUCAUGCACCUAGUAUCAUCUGUGACUAUAAGAUUUAACCAAUUGCAACUGGACAGUCCCCGUUGUUGAAAUUUUCAUCUUCUUCUCAAUUUGUAAAAAUAGGUAAGUAAAUAAAUCAAUAAAAGGUGUGUGUGGGGACGACAGGGAGGUGGUUACAUAAACCAUGGUAUAGUAUUAUUGAUUUAACAGUGAACAUGUCCAGGGUAUAUACUCCAGUGGAAGAAAAAAAGCUUUUUUCCAAACAGUAUAAAUUGUAGUGAUUUCAUUUUUAUAUACACAUAAAACAUACAAUCUGCUGUAGAAAAUAAGAGGGAAGAAAAUGCACUAAAUUACUUAAAUGGUUAC